GACGAACGCUGGCGGCGUGCUUAACACAUGCAAGUCGAACGGAAAGGCCCUGCUUUUGUGGGGUGCUCGAGUGGCGAACGGGUGAGUAACACGUGAGUAACCUGCCCUUGACUUUGGGAUAACUUCAGGAAACUCGGGCUCAUACCGGAUAGGAGCUCCUGCUGCACGGUGGGGGUUGGAAAGUUUCGGCGGUUGGGGCUCGACUCGCGGCUUAUCAGCUUGUUGGUGGGGUAGUGGCUUACCAAGGCUUUGACGGGUAGCCGGCCUGGGAGGGUGACCGGCCACAUUGGGACUGAGAGACGGCCCAGACUCCAACGGGAGGCAGUAGUGGGGAAUAUUGCACAAUGGGCGGAAGCCUGAUGCAGCAACGCCGCGUGCGGGAAGACGGCCUUCGGGGUGUAAACCGCUUUCGCCUGUGACGAAGCGUGAGUGACGGUAAUGGGUAAAGAAGCACCGGCUAACUACGUG
rnacentral:rRNA from 1 species